rnacentral:rRNA from 1 species
AGUGAACGCUGGCGGUAGGCCUAACACAUGCAAGUCGAACGGCAGCACAGUAAGAGCUUGCUCUUACGGGUGGCGAGUGGCGGACGGGUGGGGAAUACAUCGGAAUCUACUUUUUCGUGGGGGAUAACGUAGGGAAACUUACGCUUAUACCGCAUACGACCUACGGGUGAAAGCAGGGGAUCUUCGGACCUUGCGCGAUUGAAUGAGCCGAUGUCGGAUUAGCUAGUUGGCGGGGUAAAGGCCCACCAAGGCGACGAUCCGUAGCUGGUCUGAGAGGAUGAUCAGCCACACUGGAACUGAGACACGGUCCAGACUCCUACGGGAGGCAGCAGUGGGGAAUAUUGGACAAUGGGCGCAAGCCUGAUCCAGCCAUACCGCGUGGGUGAAGAAGGCCUUCGGGUUGUAAAGCCCUUUUGUUGGGAAAGAAAAGCAGCAGGUUAAUACCCCGCUGUUCUGACGGUACCCAAAGAAUAAGCACCGGCUAACUUCGUG